rnacentral:rRNA from 1 species
AGUGAACGCUGGCGGCGUGCCUAAUACAUGCAAGUCGAACGGAGUGGCGCACGGGUGAGUAAUAUAUAGCUAAUCUGCCCCUUGCUGGCGGACAACAGUUAGAAAUGACUGCUAAUACUCCAUAGCAAGGGAUGAGACUAUAUCGUAUCAGCUAGUCGGUGGGGUAAAGCCCUACCGAGGCUAUGACGUGUAACUGGUCUGAGAGGAUGAUCAGUCACAUUGGAACGGAGACACGGUCCAAACUCCUACGGGAGGGAGCAGUAGGGAAUAGUACGCAAUGGGGGAAUCCCUGACGGAGCAACGCGGCGUGGAGUAUUACACUUGUCGGAGCGUAAACUGCUUUUGAUAGGGAAGCGUUACCUAACGAAUAAGCACCGGCUAACUCCGUGCCAGCAGCCGCGGUAAUAC